ACACCGGUGGUGAAGUGGUUAUCAUGCUUGCCUUCCAUGCAACGCUAGUAGCAAGCGGCACGAGUUCGAUUCUCGUCCGGUGUA